AAAAAAAACCUAUCCUUAAUGCCCUUGCGCCGCAUCCCUCUCUGCCACCACCUGCUCCCCCAUGUGCGUUCACAGCGUGCCUACCGCUACAGCUCUGCCAUAGUCACCUGUAAACACGCAAAGAAGAAGAAGUGAACAGUAGUGAACAAUGAACUAAACAGUAGUGAACAAUGAACAGUGGUGAACAAUGAACAGUAGUGAACAAUGAACUAAACAGUAGCAAUCAAAACGUUGUAUUAAACACGAAUAUUGAGCAAUCAAAAAACUCAGUUUCAGAGUUAAAAAAGGUGAUUUUUUUUCUUCUUUUCUUUUAUUUUCAUUUUUUCCUAAAUCCAUCUCGAAUAAGAAACAAAAAACGAAAGGAAAGGGUUUAAAAGACAAACCUUCACACUUCAUCGCUAGAGACGGCUGAGGUGGACACUUCCGAUGAAAAGUGGUCGGAAAAUCGAAGGGUCAUUUGCCUAUUUCGGCGAUUUUUCACCCUUCUUUCAAACAAAUAACCCUAGAUUAGGUUUCUAGAUGGCAAGAGGAAGGCAAAGGGGAUUUUUUGGAUUCUCCGGUCGCCGUCGCCGGUGACCGGUGGUCGACACAGUGGACGACUGGCAGUCCAAUGAUCGGAGUUUGGCCAGGGAUAAAAGGGGUUGAGAGAUUUUUUUAAACUUCUUUUUUG
rnacentral:lncRNA from 1 species